GUGGGGAAUUUUGGACAAUGGGCGCAAGCCUGAUCCAGCAAUGCCGCGUGUGUGAAGAAGGCCUUCGGGUUGUAAAGCACUUUUGUCCGGGAAGAAAUCUUCCAGGUUAAUACCCUGGGAGGCUGACGGUACCGGAAGAAUAAGCACCGGCUAACUUCGUGCCAGCAGCCGCGGUAAUACGAAGGGUGCAAGCGUUACUCGGAAUUACUGGGCGUAAAGCGUGCGUCAGUGGUUCGUUAAGUCUGCCGUGAAAGCCCCGGGCUCAACCUGGGAAUGGCGGUAGAUACUGGCGGGGUAGAGUGCGGUAGAGGGUGGUGGAAUUCCCGGUGUAGCAGUGAAAUGCGUAGAGAUCGGGAGGAACAUCUGUGGCGAAGGCGGCCACCUGGACCAGCACUGACACUGAGGCACGAAAGCGUGGGGAGCAAACAGGAUUAGAAACCCCUGUAGUCC
rnacentral:rRNA from 1 species